GCGGCGGUAGCUCAGUUGGUAGAGCGCGAGCUUCCCAAGCUCGAGGUCGCGGGUUCGACACCCGUCCGCCGCU
rnacentral:tRNA from 1 species